UUCUUUAAGAUGCUCCUAGAAGAAAUCACAUGGCCAGUUGAGGACAGUGAUGAUGAAGACUUUGACUUGGACACCACCUGCCGCAUCACUGGCUUUCUAAGGAUGUUCAUUGAAACGGCUUCAUCAGGUACCCUGGCCCAGCUGCUGACAUCCUGGGUUGGCUGGGAGAUGCUUCCUCCUGAACUGACAGUGGUGAUUUCUGAGGGAACCCUUCCUACGUCCUCCACAUGCUUUGAAACACUAAAGCUGCCAGCUCAUUUCAAGAUCUACAUGGACUUUGAGAAAGCACUUGUCGCUGCUAUAAAAAGUACUGGAUUUGGGCUUGUUUAAGUAUUUUCAGACACAAGUUCAGUGUCUUUGAAAACUGAUUAACACACUGCAGCAGUUGACUUUUUAUUUUAUUUUUAUUCGGCAUAUAUAUAUAUAUUUUUUUUUUAAAGGAAAGCAAACUUUCAGUUUUUGACUGCUUGUUCUAACACAAAAAAUAAAAACGUGUCGGACA